rnacentral:tRNA from 1 species
GGGUGGGUAGCUCAGUUGGUUAGAGCCUGGGAUUUGAGGUCCCAGUUGCGUAGGUUCAAAUCCUACCCCACCCA